CGGGGUGUAGCUCAGCUUGGUAGAGCGCCUGCUUUGGGAGCAGGAGGUCGCAGGUUCAAAUCCUGUCACCCCGA
rnacentral:tRNA from 2 species